AGAGUUUGAUCCUGGCUCAGGACGAACGCUGGCGGCGUGCUUAACACAUGCAAGUCGAACGGGACGCCAUGGAAUGAGACUUCGGUCAAAGGAAAUGGUUGUCUAGUGGCGGACUGGUGAGUAACGCGUGAGGAACCUGCCUUUCAGAGGGGGACAACAGUUGGAAACGACUGCUAAUACCGCAUGAUAUGCACCCAUGGCAUCAUGGGAGUAUCAAAGAAUUAUCGCUGAAAGAUGGCCUCGCGUCUGAUUAGCUAGUUGGUGAGGUAACGGCCCACCAAGGCGACGAUCAGUAGCCGGACUGAGAGGUUGACCGGCCACAUUGGGACUGAGAUACGGCCCAGACUCCUACGGGAGGCAGCAGUGGGGAAUAUUGGGCAAUGGACGCAAGUCUGACCCAGCAACGCCGCGUGAAGGAAGAAGGCUUUCGGGUUGUAAACUUCUUUGACAGGGGAAGAGUAGAAGACGGUACCCUGAAAACAAGCCACGGCUAACUACGUGCCAGCAGCCGCGGUAAUACGUAGGUGGCAAGCGUUGUCCGGAUUUACUGGGUGUAAAGGGCGUGUAGCCGGGUUCGUAAGUCGGAUGUGAAAUCUGGAGGCUCAACCUCCAAACUGCAUACGAAACUGCGGAUCUUGAGUAUCGGAGAGGUAAUCGGAAUUCCUAGUGUAGCGGUGAAAUGCGUAGAUAUUAGGAAGAACACCAGUGGCGAAGGCGGAUUACUGGACGAUAACUGACGGUGAGGCGCGAAAGCGUGGGGAGCGAACAGGAUUAGAUACCCUGGUAGUCCACGCUGUAAACGAUCAAUACUAGGUGUGCGGGGACUGACCCCCUGCGUGCCGGAGUUAACACAAUAAGUAUUGCACCUGGGGAGUACGAUCGCAAGGUUGAAACUCAAAGGAAUUGACGGGGGCCCGCACAAGCGGUGGAUUAUGUGGUUUAAUUCGAAGCAACGCGAAGAACCUUACCAGGGCUUGACAUCCUACUAACGAGAUAGAGAUAUGUCAGGUGCCCUUCGGGGAAAGUAGAGACAGGUGGUGCAUGGUUGUCGUCAGCUCGUGUCGUGAGAUGUUGGGUUAAGUCCCGCAACGAGCGCAACCCCUAUUGUUAGUUGCUACGCAAGAGCACUCUAGCGAGACUGCCGUUGACAAAACGGAGGAAGG
rnacentral:rRNA from 1 species